UACGGGGGGAGCAAGCGUUGUUCGGAUUUACUGGGCGUAAAGGGCGCGUAGGCGGUCAGCACAAGUCAGUUGUGAAAUCCCCGGGCUUAACCUGGGAAUGGCAUUUGGGACUGCAAGGCUCGAGUGCGGCAGAGGAGACUGGAAUUCCUGGUGUAGCAGUGAAAUGCGUAGAUAUCAGGAGGAACACCGAUGGCGAAGGCAGGUCUCUGGGCUGACACUGACGCUCAUGCACGAAAGCGUGGGGAGCAAACAGG
rnacentral:rRNA from 1 species